rnacentral:rRNA from 1 species
UACAGAGGGGGCAAGCGUUGUUCGGAAUUACUGGGCGUAAAGGGCGCGUAGGCGGCCUUCUAAGUCGAAUGUGAAAUCCCCGGGCUCAACCCGGGAACUGCGUCCGAUACUGGAAGGCUUGAAUCCGGGAGAGGGAUGUGGAAUUCCAGGUGUAGCGGUGAAAUGCGUAGAUAUCUGGAGGAACACCGGUGGCGAAGGCGGGAUCCUGGGCCAGUACUGACGCUGAGGAGCGAAAGCGUGGGGAGCGAACAGG